GUGCUCACUUGAGCAGCACACAUACCAAAAUUAGAGCGAUACAGAUAAGAUUAGUAUGGCCCCUGUGCAAGUAUUUAGUUAUAUAUUGUGUAAAACUUAAUUCUUAA
ensembl:snRNA U6 U6 spliceosomal RNA